UACGGGGGGGGCAAGCGUUGUUCGGAAUUACUGGGCGUAAAGGGUUCGUAGGUGGCUUGCUAAGUCAGUGGUGAAAGCCCGGAGCUCAACUUCGGAACUGCCAUUGAUACUGAUAGACUUGAGUACAGAUGAAGUGGGCGGAAUGUGACAAGUAGCGGUGAAAUGCUUAGAUAUGUCACAGAACACCGAUUGCGAAGGCAGCUCACUAAAGUGUAACUGACGCUGAGGCACGAAAGCGUGGGGAUCAAACAGG
rnacentral:rRNA from 1 species